AUUAGAAAAGGGAUUUUGGGUCAGACUGCUAUUUACACCUUAUUUUCUACUUCUCUAUUUCAUUUGGGCCUUUAUUACACUGCAACAGACUUUCUCAUCUGCACCUACGAUCUAUUUGCUACAUCCCCUUUUACUGUUUCAAUAUGGACUUUGGCCUACUCUAUUUUAGGUCUUUUAAAUAUGUUACUUUGACACCUAGGUAAUUGCUACCAGCACCCCCUCUCAACAAAUUAAAAAUUUGCAUCGCAGACUUCUUCCCCUUUAGACGACGCUGCCCCUCAAUAUCAAGAUUAAAUAAACGACGGCUUCAAGUGUUGUUUUAUCAUCACCAACUACCUACUGCUCAACUAAAAGAACAUCAAUAUUCUUAGGUACCGGUAUCUUCCUCCAAGCAAGAAGCUUCAAUAGUGAGGACUUUCCCAUUCCAUUCGGCCCAACCAAACCAUACCUUUUUCCGUGUGAUAUUCUCACUGAUGCAUUCUUCAGAAGUUAUUUACCCAUAGCAGACACCGAAAUUUUUUCUAUCGUUAUAGCUUUAACGUUAACAUCAACAUCAUCGUCUCCAUCAAGAACUGAACUGUCGUCUUUGGACCUUGAUUCCGAUCGACAUGGUGGUUUUCGAAAACAAUAGUUUCGUGAUCUACACAUCAAAAGCUUCACCCUACAUCCAAUGUUUUUCAAUUUUGCUAAUGAUCACAAAAAUCCGUUUUCGCCGAGUUACGUGUCGUUACCAAUGAGCAUUUUGAGUUGUUUGUGUCGACAAGGAUUUAGGAAGGCGAGACACAUACUCAAUAAGUUUAUUCGAGUUUGUUGUUAUCGUGAAGUUCUCUAUUUUCUCUUAGGCUUCGUGAAAUCUUCUAUCGAGGUAUAUGGUGAGCGUGAGUUUGAAUUCAUGGGUGUAAAUGAAGUGAGAUGAACGAAAAUAUCGUAUUUUCCAUAAUUCAUUCGGGGCUCGCUACGUACGGCUGAAGGCCUUUGAAUAAUAGUUGACUAAUGAGAAAAUUUGAAUUAGGUGAGAUUAAAAAAAUGAGUUAGAAACUUUUAUAGGGUGUUGUUUGAUUUGAUUUUGAAGAUCAUGUCAUAGUUGAAUUACUAUAGAAUUGUGUAUUUGACGUAUUAUGUGCUUUCUUUAUAUCCACCCGUGAUGUUGUUAUAUAAUAUAAAAUAUGAUGAAUUGAAAUUAUUUGUAUUGCAAUUGAUGUGGUGUGUAUGAAUGAUCUAGUAUUAUUAUUUGUGAGUAAAAAUCUUGUAUUGUUGGAGCUUGUGUAUUACGAUGAUAAAAUUUGAAUGUAAUGUAUGACUAUGGAAAUAUGAAAUGAUGAUGUGUGCUUGUUGACUUA